rnacentral:rRNA from 1 species
AUGCAGUCGANGGAAGGCCCAGAGCUUGCUUGGGUACUCGAGUGGCGAACGGGUGAGUAACACGUGGGUGAUCUGCCCUGCACUUCGGGAUAAGCCUGGGAAACUGGGUCUAAUACCGGAUAGGACGAUGGUUUGGAUGCCAUUGUGGAAAGUUUUUUCGGUGUGGGAUGAGCUCGCGGCCUAUCAGCUUGUUGGUGGGGUAAUGGCCUACCAAGGCGUCGACGGGUAGCCGGCCUGAGAGGGUGUACGGCCACAUUGGGACUGAGAUACGGCCCAAACUCCUACGGGAGGCAGCAGUGGGGAAUAUUGCACAAUGGGCGCAAGCCUGAUGCAGCGACGCCGCGUGGGGGAUGACGGCCUUCGGGUUGUAAACUCCUUUCGCUAGGGACGAAGCGUUUUUGUGACGGUACCUGGAGAAGAAGCACCGGCUAACUACGUGCCAGCAGCCGGCGGUANNAAA